CCUACGGGAGGCUGCAGUGGGGAAUCUUGCGCAAUGGGCGAAAGCCUGACGCAGCCAUGCCGCGUGAAUGAUGAAGGUCUUAGGAUUGUAAAAUUCUUUCACCGGGGACGAUAAUGACGGUACCCGGAGAAGAAGCCCCGGCUAACUUCGUGCCAGCAGCCGCGGUAAUACGAAGGGGGCUAGCGUUGCUCGGAAUUACUGGGCGUAAAGGGAGCGUAGGCGGACUGUUAAGUUAGAGGUGAAAGCCCAGGGCUCAACCUUGGAAUUGCCUUUGAUACUGGCAGUCUUGAGUACGGAAGAGGUAUGUGGAACUCCGAGUGUAGAGGUGAAAUUCGUAGAUAUUCGGAAGAACACCAGUGGCGAAGGCGACAUACUGGUCCGUUACUGACGCUGAGGCUCGAAAGCGUGGGGAGCAAACAGGAUUAGAUACCCCUGUAGUC
rnacentral:rRNA from 1 species